rnacentral:lncRNA from 1 species
GUUUGGGGUCUGCCUGGCACUGGCACCCCUGCCCUUCAACCUGCAGAGCAGAGGGGACUGGCUGAGGCUGCCUUCUCUCCCCCCUCAGGGCAGCAGGACCUCGCUGCUGAGACCUCAGGGCAGUGUCCCCCCGAAGGGUGAUUUCGUCCGCACCUCCUGCUACUCCACACUGGGACUUAAAGGUAUGGAGGCCCCGGAUGGUCUCCAAGCAGCCCAGGUGGCUGGCAUGUCGCGGACCCGGGAGAUCAGCCGCUAUUCGCCCUUUGGCUCCGCCCGGAGAGUGCCCGUCACGCAGCCCCAGUCCCUGCGCGGCAGUUGCUUCUCCACCCGCUUCCCCCACCGCCUGGCUGUCUUCCCCCGCACACCCAGCACCGCAGAGGCCCUGGACAAGCACCCGGCCCAGGGAGCACUGCAGACCCCAGCCAGGUGGGCCGGCGGCCUCUCCCCGGAGCCCAGAAGCUCUGACCCCGAUGACGCAGCCCCGCCCUGGGUGAGUGCCCUGGGGCUAGGGGGUUGAGGAGACCCAGCAGGGCCCUUUCCCAGACGAAGGAUUCCCUUCCUUUGACCCAAGGCCAGCUGAGCCCGUCCCGCUCUGGGACAGCACCCCAGGACAGGACGAAAGGG